UACGAAGGGGGCUAGCGUUGCUCGGAAUCACUGGGUGUAAAGCGCACGUAGGCGGACUCUUAAGUCGGUGGUGAAAUCCUGGAGCUCAACUCCAGAACUGCCUUCGAUACUGAGAGUCUCGAGUCCGAGAGAGGUGAGUGGAACUGCGAGUGUAGAGGUGAAAUUCGUAGAUAUUCGCAAGAACACCAGUGGCGAAGGCGGCUCACUGGCUCGGUACUGACGCUGAGGUGCGAAAGCGUGGGGAGCAAACAGG
rnacentral:rRNA from 1 species